rfam:Rhizobium sp. MH17 C733, whole genome shotgun sequence.
AGUCAAGAGUCCUUGGCACCGUUUCGGUGAGCAGAUUUCUUUUGCCUGCAGAAAGGCAAGGAAAUG